GCUCAUAGAACUUAUUGAGCCACAAACACACAGAGCCACAAACACACAGAGCAAACAACACACAGGCAAACAACAUACUCAUAGAGCUUAUUAAAAUUUGAAAAUUAGAAAAAACCAAAAACCACAACCUGCCACCGUUGCUUGACUUCCUUAUCAGACUGAUCCAUAAAAGUAUCAUGGUUUGGAUGAGCUCUGAUGCCUGCUUUAGCAGCUUCAACAGACGUACGUUUGUGAGGUAAAACGAACCCUUGCACCAGUUUCUUCUUCAUGGUUCAACCUGCAACAGUCUGGUUCUUAAACAUAACCUUUCUUGGCCCAUGUUUCUUCUCCACAUCCAUCGUAACUGGACCCUUCUCCUCUCUCUCUCUCUCUCCAAUCUGGUUAUCUUCGAGUAUCGCUAU
rnacentral:lncRNA from 1 species